GGUUGUUAGGAUUUCUCUCUCUUUUUGUCUAAGAGUUAGACAUAGACUUUUCUCUCCCCUUUGUCCAAGAGUUGGACAUGUUAUUCUAGAUCUCUAGUAUAGAGAUCUUAUGCAUGAGUUUUAGGAAGAAAUUGAAAAAAGUAUUUUCUUAUGAUCUCCAGCAUAGAGAUCUCUAUCCUCUUAGUUCCUUCUACUUCUCUAAGAUAAUUUUAAAAGAAAAGAAGAAUCAUCUUUAACCGUCAAGAUACGAUCUAUGCAAGGGAUUUAGAAUCCUGAUGAGAUCAAGAAGCUUCUGAUC
rnacentral:lncRNA from 1 species